rnacentral:rRNA from 1 species
UACGGGGGGGGCAAGCGUUGUUCGGAAUUACUGGGCGUAAAGGGCUCGUAGGCGGCCAACUAAGUCGGAUGUGAAAUCCCCAGGCUCAACCUGGGAACUGCAUCCGAUACUGGAUGGCUUGAAUCCGGGAGAGGGAUGCAGAAUUCCAGGUGUAGCGGUGAAAUGCGUAGAUAUCUGGAGGAAUACCGGUGGCGAAGGCGGCAUCCGGGACCGGCAUGGACGCUGAGGCGCGAAAGCUAGGGGAGCAAACGGG